GACGAACGCUGGCGGCGUGCUUAACACAUGCAAGUCGAACGGAAAGGCCUCUUUCGGGGGGUACUCGCGUGGCGCACGGGUGAGUAACACGUGAGUAACCUGCCCUUGUCUCUGGGAUAACUCCAGGAAACUGUGGCUAAUACCCGAUAGGAGCUCCUGCUGCGUGGUGUGGGUUGGGGAGAUUCGGUGGGUGGGGAGGGACUCGCGGGUUAUCUGCUUGUUGGUGGGGUAGUGUCUUACCAAGGCUUUGUCGGGUAGCCGGCCUGAGAGGGUGGACGGCCACAUUGGGGCUGAGGUACGGCCCAGACUCCUACGGGGGGCAGCAGGGGGGAAUAUUGCACAAUGGGGGGGAGCCUGAUGCAGCAACGCCGUGUGCGGGAUGACGGGCUUCGGGUUGGAAACCGCUUUCGCUCAUGACGAAGCUUUGUGUGACGGUAGUGGGUAAAGAAGCACCGGCUAACUACGUG
rnacentral:rRNA from 1 species